rnacentral:rRNA from 1 species
UACGGAGGGGGCUAGCGUUGUUCGGAAUUACUGGGCGUAAAGCGCGCGUAGGCGGAUCUGCAAGUCGGGGGUGAAAUCCCGAGGCUCAACCUCGGAACUGCCUUCGAUACUGCGGGUCUCGAGUCCGGGAGAGGUGGAGUGGAAUUCCUAGUGUAGAGGUGAAAUUCGGUAGAUAUUAGGAAGAACACCAGUGGCGAAGGCGGCUCACUGGCCCGGUACUGACGCUGAGGCGCGAAAGCGUGGGGAGCAAACAGGG